AUUGAACGCUGGCGGCAUGGCCUUACACAUGCAAGUCGAACGGCAGCGCGGGAGCAAUCCCUGGCGGCGAGUGGCGAACGGGUGAGUAAUAUAUCGGAACGUGCCCAGUAGUGGGGGAUAGCCCGGCGAAAGCCGGAUUAAUACCGCAUGAGACCUGAGGGUGAAAGCGGGGGAUCGCAAGACCUCGCGCUAUUGGAGCGGCCGAUAUCAGAUUAGCUAGUUGGUGGGGUAAGGCCUACCAAGGCAACGAUCUGUAGUUGGUCUGAGAGGACGACCAGCCACACUGGGACUGAGACACGGCCCAGACUCCUACGGGAGGCAGCAGUGAGGAAUCUUGCGCAAUGGGCGAAAGCCUGACGCAGCGACGCCGCGUGGAGGAUGACGGUUUUCGGAUUGUAAACUCCUGUUAAGCGGGAAGAAAGCCUUGUUUCUAAUACAAGCAAGGUAUGACGGUACCGCUAGAGAAAGCACCGGCUAACUUCGUGCCAGC
rnacentral:rRNA from 1 species